GCGAUGGCGGCAGCUAUCAUGCAAGUCGAGCGGAAGAUGGGAGCUUGCUCCCUGAUGUUAGCGGCGGACGGGUGAGUAGCACGUGGGUAACCUGCCUGUAAGACUGGGAUAACUCCGGGAAACCGGGGCUAAUACCGGAUGGUUGUUUGAACCGCAUGGUUAACACCUAAACUGGGGCUUCGGCUACAACUUACGUAUGAACCCCCGGUUGGUUAGCUAAUUGCUGAGGUAACGGCUCACCAAGGCAACGAUGGAUAGCCUACCUGAGAGGGUGAUCAGCCACACUGGGACUGAAACCCUACCCAGACUCCUAGGGGAGAAAACUGGACGAAAGCUUCCACACUGGACGAACCACGGACCGAGCGUCACCACGGGAUUGAGGUAGGUUUUCAGAUUAAAAAGCUCUGAGGCUAUUUUUUUACAAGCCCCGUUCGAA
rnacentral:rRNA from 1 species